rnacentral:rRNA from 1 species
UACGUAGGGUGCAAGCGUUAAUCGGAAUUACUGGGCGUAAAGCGCGCGUAGGUGGUUUGAUAAGUUGGAUGUGAAAGCCCCGGGCUCAACCUGGGAAUUGCAUCCAAAACUGUCUGACUAGAGUACGGUAGAGGGUAGUGGAAUUUCCUGUGUAGCGGUGAAAUGCGUAGAUAUAGGAAGGAACACCAGUGGCGAAGGCGACUACCUGGACUGAUACUGACACUGAGGCACGAAAGCAUGGGGAGCAAACAGG